rnacentral:lncRNA from 1 species
GAGAGGGAAGAAGCAAAGCAAGUAUCAGAUGAAGAAGCUUUGUUUUUUGCCAUGGAACUAUCAGGUGCUUCUGCUGCUCCAAUGGUUCUAAAAUCAGCUUUAGAACUUGGCAUCAUUGAAAUUAUAGCCAAAGCUGGUCCAAAUGCUCAUCUUUCAUCUUCAAACAUUGCUUCUCAAAUCCCUUCUAUAAAAAAUCCAGAUGCACCUUCUAUGUUGGACCGAUUAUUGCGUCUAUUGGCUAGCUACAAAAUUCUUACUUGCUCCAUUCAACAUCAAGAUGGAGAUUCUAUUGAAAGGCUUUAUGGUCUUCACCCUCUUGCUAAGUAUUUUGUCAAUAAUCAAGAUGGUGUCUCC